AUUGAACGCUGGCGGCAGGCCAAACACAUGCAAGUCGAGCGAGCGGCGGACGGGUGAGUAAUGUCUGGGAAACUGCCUGAUGGAGGGGGAUAACUACUGGAAACGGUAGCUAAUACCGCAUACCAUCAGAUGUGCCCAGAGGGGAUGAGCUAGUAGGUGGGGUAACGGCUCACCUAGGCGACGCUCCCUAGCUGGUCUGAGAGGAUGACCAGCCACACUGGAACUGAGACCCGGUCCAGACUCCGACGGGAGGCAGCAGUGGGGCAUAUUGCACGAUGGGCGCAAGCCUGAUGCAGCCAUGCCGCGUGUGUGAAGAAGGACUUCGGGUUGUAAAGCACUUUCAGCGGGGAGGCGUUACCCGCAGAAGAAGCACCGGCUAACUCCGUGCCAGCAGCCGCGGUAAUUC
rnacentral:rRNA from 1 species